UUUGAUGGAUCAUGGAUCUACUUAGUCUGCUUUUUUGAGUAUGUAAAAAUUGAGGUGGUGGAAAAUGAAAUGUGCUUCACUGUCGGUUGAAAACAAAUUUUUACUUUGCUCCUUUUUCACCUUCACACUAACAUAAGUUGAUUAUUCAGUCUUAAUUAGUGGAUUAUUCAGUCUUAAUCAUAUUAGGGCUGCAGAACACUCUCAUUUGAGCAUCCCAGAAACCGGAUUUUGGAAGAAAAGAAAGCAAUACCAUCAACUUCUGCAAAACUCUCUUAUUUUUGCUUCAGUUGGGACCGCAACGACAUUUGUUGGUUUGGCAGCAUGUCGUGCAUCUGUAGUGAAGAAGAACUCUUCUGCCUAGUCAUCCAACAACUUAAAUUAUAGUAACAAUUUUGACAUAAUUGUGAAUUUGUGUUAAGUAUUGUAUCCAAAACCUCAUCGGGCGACCUUAAGUUAGACUCUUUUGUGCAUAAUAAUCACUAAUUUCAUUUAUUCUUUGUUAGGUUAAGGCUUGUUAUAUGUAGUUAGUUUCCUCAAUAUGAUUGUUGGUUUUCAGUUUAAUUUUCAUUGUGAACUUUUUAGGGGAAAUUACAUUGAUUUGAUGAAAUUA